CCAUGCCGCGUGCAGGAAGAAUGCCCUAUGGGUUGUAAACUGCUUUUAUUUAGGAAUAAACCCUUCUACGUGUAGAAGGCUGAAUGUACUAAACGAAUAAGCACCGGCUAACUCCGUGCCAGCAGCCGCGGUAAU
rnacentral:rRNA from 1 species